rnacentral:rRNA from 1 species
UUCCGGUUGAUCCCGCCGGACCCCACUGCUAUCGAGGUGGGACUAAGCCAUGCUAGUCGAACGCACAGAACUAUGUCUGUGAGUGGCAUACUGCUCAGUAACACGUAGCUAACCUACCCUUCGGACGUGGACAACCCCGAGAAAUUGGGACUAAUCCGCGAUAGAUGUGAUGUCCUGGAAUGGUAUUACGUCUAAAGGUAUUCCAUACAUGUUUGUUAUACGCCUAAGGAUGGGGCUGCGGCUGAUCAGGCUGUUGGUGAGGUAAUGGCUCACCAAACCAUUGACCAGUACGGGCCAUGAGAGUGGUAGCCCGGAGAUGGACACUGAGACAAGGGUCCAGGCCCUACGGGGCGCAGCAGGCGCGAAACCUCCUCAAUGCACUAACGUGCGAAGGGGUUACCUCGAGCGCUACCUGAUGAAGGUGGCUUUUCCUUGGUCUAAAUAGCCUUGGGAAUAAGAGGGGGGCAAGACUGGUGUCAGCCGCCGCGGUAACACCAGCCCCUCGAGUGGUGGGGAUGAUUAUUUGGCCUAAAGCGUCCGUAGCCGGCCGGGUAAGUUUCCCGUUAAAUCCAACGUCUCAAGCGUUGGACCGCGGGAAAUACUGCCUGGCUAGAGAGUGGGAGAGGUCAGCGGUAUUCUGGGGGUAGGGGCGAAAUCCUUUGAUCCC